ACACGUGGGCAACCUGCCUGUAAGACUGGGAUAACUCCGGGAAACCGGGGCUAAUACCGGGUAACUCAUCGGAUCGCAUGAUCCGUUGUUGAAAGAUGGCUUUUGCUAUCACUUACAGAUGGGCCCGCGGCGCAUUAGCUAGUUGGUGGGGUAACAGCCUACCAAGGCGACGAUGCGUAGCCGACCUGAGAGGGUGAUCGGCCACACUGGGACUGAGACACGGCCCAGACUCCUACGGGAGGCAGCAGUAGGGAAUCAUCCGCAAUGGACGAAAGUCUGACGGUGCAACGCCGCGUGAGUGAGGAAGGUCUUCGGAUCGUAAAACUCUGUUGUUAGGGAAGAACACGUUCCGUUUGAAUAAGGCGGAGCCUUGACGGUACCUAACCAGAAAGCCACGGCUAACUACGUGCCAGCAGCCGCGGUAAUACGUAGGUGGCAAGCGUUGUCCGGAAUUAUUGGGCGUAAAGCGCGCGCAGGCGGUUCCUUAAGUCUGAUGUGAAAGCCCAUGGCUCAACCAUGGAGGGUCAUUGGAAACUGGGGAACUUGAGGACAGAAGAGGAGAGCGGAAUUCCACGUGUAGCGGUGAAAUGCGUAGAUAUGUGGAGGAACACCAGUGGCGAAGGCGGCUCUCUGGUCUGUGCCUGACGCUGAGGCGCGAAAGCGUGGGGAGCGAACAGGAUUAGAUACCCUGGUAGUCCACGCCGUAAACGAUGAGUGCUAGGUGUUAGGGGUUUCCACCCUUAGUGCUGCAGUUAACGCAAUAAGCACUCCGCCUGGGGAGUACGGCCGCAAGGCUGAAACUCAAAGGAAUUGACGGGGGCCCGCACAAGCGGUGGAGCAUGUGGUUUAAUUCGACGCAACGCGAAGAACCUUACCAGGUCUUGACAUCCUCGGACCACCCUAGAGAUAGGGUCUUCCCUUCGGGGACCGAGUGACAGGUGGUGCAUGGUUGUCGUCAGCUCGUGUCGUGAGAUGUUGGGUUAAGUCCCGCAACGAGCGCAACCCUUGAUCUUAGUUGCCAGCAUUCAGUUGGGCACUCUAAGGUGACUGCCGGUGACAAACCGGAGGAAGGUGGGGAUGACGUCAAAUCAUCAUGCCCCUUAUGACCUGGGCAACACACGUGCUACAAUGGAUGGUACAAUGGGCUGCGAAGCCGCGAGGUGAAGCAAAUCCCAAAAAGCC
rnacentral:rRNA from 1 species